UACGGAGGAUCCGAGCGUUAUCCGGAUUUAUUGGGUUUAAAGGGUGCGUAGGUGGCCUGUUAAGUCAGGGGUGAAAGACGGUAGCUCAACUAUCGCAGUGCCCUUGAUACUGAUGGGCUUGAAUGAACUAGAGGUAGGCGGAAUGUGACAAGUAGCGGUGAAAUGCAUAGAUAUGUCACAGAACACCGAUUGCGAAGGCAGCUUACUAAGCUAUGAUUGACGCUGAGGCACGAAAGCGUGGGGAUCAAACAGG
rnacentral:rRNA from 1 species